AUAUAUAUAUAUAUAUAUAUAUAUAAAAAAAAUGUGUGUAUGUGUAACAGACAUCAAUGAACCACUGCUCAUAUCUACUGUAACAGAAUUCCAUGUUAUGAAGUGACAGAGAUAUAAUAUUACUGGUCUUGUGUAUUUCAUCAAUAAAAUCAAUGAAACAGUACCGUCUGUGCUGUAUCUGGUCUUUUCUAACUUAAAGAGCGUUAUAAAGAGCAAUGAUGCUUCAUUUACGUCUAGUUAUUUCAGUCAGCAGGGUGGAAAAUGCUUUGCAUUAUAUAACUCAUCUCUGAAUAAUAUACAGUGCCUCCAGAAAAUAUUCACCCCCCAGUGAUUAUCUUCUCUUUUUUUCUGUGUUGCUACAUCAAAUUUAAGACUGUUUGGGUUUUUUUUUUUUUUUCCUGAAAUGAAAUGAGUUUUCCUUUUGAAAUGACUCUGUACAGAAAUUAAAAUUACAUAAAAGUAUUUAGAUGUCCUCAGAAUUAUUUAUAAAAUAAAGAGUCUAAAAACGGCUUCAUUGAUAAGUAUAAGUUAAGUUCUUUCUUUUAGCAAUCUAAAUUAGAACGAGUAUUCAGAGAGCUCACACUAAAUAAUAUGGCAAACAGGGUGAAACUGUUUUCAUUUUAAAUCCAACUGUGUCCAAUUGUAUGCUUGCACGAUAAAUCUCUCUGAUUUUACUAAGUCACACAUCUAAAACGGCCCUGCUUUCUUGAAGACCAAGCACCUGGGUUUACAGAGCUCACGGGCUGAAUCAGGAGAACCUGUGCAGACCUGAACAUCUUCAGCUCUUCACAGAUCCGGCCUCUAUGAGAGUGUGGCCAAAAGAAAGCCACUUCUGAGAAAGACUAUUCCAGAAAAUCUCAGAGCGGUUGGAAAAAGAUUUUGUAGUCUGAUGAAAUUAAAGUUGAGCCAUAAAGCCAAAGUAUAAAGUUUGGUGCAAACCAAAAACCAAAGCUCUACACUCAGUUAACGUCAUUCCUGCGGUCAAGCAUGGUGCUGGUAGCAUCAGGCUCUAGGGCAGCUUUUCACCAGGAGGAAAUGGAAAGCUUGUUGCCAUCAUAGGCAACAUGAAUGGAGCCAAAUAUGAGGAAAUUGUUGAGGAGAACCUAUUGUGGUCUGCAUUCAGGGCAAAAAUAUACAGGACAGGACAGUGAGCCAGAGCAAAAACUACAAAGGAAUGAUUUGAAAACAAGGCUUGUGUUUUGUAAUGGCCAAGUCAAAGCACAGACUUAAAUCCAAUUGAAAAUCAUUUUCCACAUGAAAAUUGCUGUCGACUAACAUUCUCCAUCUAAUUUGGCAUAGUUGGCGAUAAUUUGCAUAGAGGAAUGGAAGACAAUGUGCAAAGCUCAUUCAGACACAUCCGAGACGACUCAAAUUGGUAAUUGCUGCACGAGGACAAUUCACACUGAUGGGGUUUUUAUUUUUUAGUUUUGAGAACAUCUUUUAAAUACUUUAAUUAAUUUUAUUUCAGUAGAGAGUUACUUCAAAAGGAGCAGGGGAAAAAAAAAUAAAAAUCCCCAUGCAGGAUUUCAACGCAUCAUAACUUCGACAAGCACGGGCGAGAGCAGGCGAUUUUGCACGGGUCAUCACUGCGCCACUUUUUAAUUAAUACUCCGGCAAUCAAUAACUGCAUACCUCUCGUAUUUCUCAUUUUUAGUGAUUAUUAUUACAGUAAAGCUGUUAUGAUUAGCAGACAAAUUGAUUGUCAAUUACGAAUGUUCAUCUGCGUCAAUUUUUAUUCCCCACACAUUGUUUACAUAACGAACAGCAGAAACAAGUUAUGAUAUAAGAAAUCAGUUUUAUUGUAGAUUAUAAAUGGUUUUAUUGCAGCCUUAGGAUAGAAAGUCAGUACAGUAACAAAAUGUUAAUAAACCUAUGUCUUCAUUUAGAAGUGGAUCCUUCUGUUCCACGAUUUCUGCAAACAGCAUUGCUGGCCAUGGAGCAUGUGACAUGAGAACUGGGCUGUCUCACUGCAAGGUUAAUGCUUUAGCGUACAAGCAGGCCCGACAAGCCAUGCCCGGAUCCAUCACUUGCCCUUCCACCACGAUUGUUUCUUCUUCGUGGGCUGCCUUCAAGGGUGUCCCUCUAAGUGACCUCUGUACUGUGGCGACAUGGUCUUCUCCCUGUACCUUCGCGAGAUUCUAUAAUGUCAACGUCGCUUCAUCCCAGGAUGUGGGCUCGGCUGUGCUUCACCAGUGACCCCUGGUCUUUUCUGGUGAGUUACUCCUCGUGACUUUUCUGGUAUGAGUCCUUCACUACUGUAGCACCGUCUCUGGCGGUCAGGGGAAAUGAAACAGAACGCUGGUUAUGCAUGUAACCGUGUGUGCGAGAAGACGCUAAGCUGCAGUGGCUUAGAUCACCUCUGCUCAGCUCACGUCACUACGUGACUUCAUUUGUAUUUAUUUUCUCGACCUAUCUGGCUGAAUGCGAUCAUCCACUACUGUGGCACCUUCUCUGGCAGUCAUCCGGAAUUCACAGAACCAGGGUUAGAUCCGUAACCAGCGUUCAAAUCUCUGCAUUGACACCUGGUAGUGCCUACUCAGCAAGACAUGCGGUCCCUUUGCAGAACCUUCAAAAUGACUGUCCGUCAGUGGUGGAAUGAAUUUCCAUCCUCAAUCCGGAUCGCAGAAUCUGUCACUGUCUUCAAAAAAUUCAAGACUCAAGACCCACCUCUUCCAUGAACACUCAACUAACCUCUAAUUUGUCUCCACUCAAAAAAUCAAUCAAUCAAUCAAUCAAUCAAUCAAGCUGCACUUACACUGGGUCUUACACUUCUAUUCUGCGAACUGCUCUAGCACUCAAAUAAAAAUCUUGUAUGGUAGCACUACUUGUAUUUCCUCAACUGUAAGUCACUUUGGAUAAAAGCGUCUGCUAAAUCCCCCCGGCCCCACCUGAGGCCAACGAGAUGGCCUCACCCAUCCUGCUCCUGUCUGAGGCUGACUAUGCGACCUCCCAAGCCAUGCUCACGCCAGAGACUAACAUCACGGCUUUCCACGACAUGCUCAAGCCAGAGGUCGACGAGCUGACCUACCAAGUGUUACUGAAGUCUGAGGCCGACAAGACUCUCAGGUAUUUUCCCCCUCAGCACACUUCCGGGUUGACGGGAAUUGUUUACUUUGCCGUGUAGGUUUUGUUUUGGUUUCUGUCCUGUCUCCACCCCUGUUUUGUGAUUGGUUGUUACCCUUGUGUCAUCACUGCCCACAGCUGUUUCUGUUUCCCACUUUGAUUAGUUUGUAUGUUUCUGUAUUACGUGGCGAAGUAUUGUUUCAGUGCUUUGCCGGUUUAUCUGUACCAAACCGUUUGUCCAUCGUUCUUUGUUUCAUGGUUUUUGAUCCUGCCUUUCCCUUGUGUUUUUGUGAUUCUGGUUUUGCCAGAGCACCUUUGAGCACCUGACCUCUGCCUGUUCUUGGAUUUCGACUUUGCAUCACGUUUUGUAUUUAUCUGCCUGCGUCUCUUAAUAAAAGCUUUUACUGCAAUUGCAUCCGUCUUCGCUCUCCUUACGUGACAUUACUGUUAGUUUCAAACCUUGCACAUGUCUUUUGUCCUUGAACGUACUCUGUCCAUUUUUGUCCCCUGUGUGCAUUACAUUCUAAAACGUGUCACUCAGUGUUUCAGAAAGCUGUUACAUCUGACAAUAAUAGGAUAGGGAAAAACCCAGGAGAUUAUGGCUCCCUUUUUAUACAUACAGUGAAUAUAAAAAGUCUACACACUCCUGUUAAACUUGUAGGUUUUCCUGAUGUAAAAAUAAAUAAAUAAAUAAAACCUAGAUAAAUCAUGUCAGAUAUUUUUUAACCUUUAAUGUGAUAUAGCAAGCAGCUGUAUUCAAGUGAAAAACAAAUAGAAACGUUUUACAGGGAAAAAGAAAAAGGAAAAAACUUGGUUGCAUAAAAGUGUGCACACCCUUUUAUAAUGGGGCAUUAUAUACGUGGAAAAAGAGCCUUCAUGCAGUUUCUUCAGUAUGGAGACACGACAAGAAAAAAAAGAAAAGAAGCAUUCUUUUCUUUCAUCUACCGACAAAACUACUUACUGGCCAAGUUUAAAACGCAGAACAAUAAAACAUGGACGACAUUUAAAAGGACUUGUCAGAAAAGCAACACUUCUGGGCAGUUGUACAUAAUUAGGUUCCUAGCACAGCCAUAGCCUACAGGCAUACAACCUUGAUCAAACACAUGGUCACCAGCGGUCUAUAACAAGCGCUUACAGUGAAGGCCAAAUCAAUCAGUUUGCAUUAACAUAUACAUCUUCUGUAUGAGACGUUUGGUGUGAUGACCAUGCACACAUCGUGAGGAUUCUCCCAUCUCUGUAAUUUAUACUGUCAUAAUUACUCCAGAUGUCCUCCAGCAAGAUUACUUAACAUACACAUGUCCAGGAAUGUUAUCCGAAUACUACUUAGCAGGAUCUUGCUCAGCUCAGUGUACUCUUUACACGCUUAAUGUAGUUUUCCCUCAUUGGAAAUUCUACACAUGAAACCCCAUGUUAUAAUCAUCUGUCAGUGGCAAAAGUUGGUGAAGACCAUCAGUUCCAUCAACUCUGGAAAAACUAUUUAAUUGAAUGUGCAUGUUAGUCUAAUGGCCAGUUAUUAGCCCUCGCUUUUUCGUGCCUUGACCUCAAAAUGCCAUUAAGAGAUGGUAUUAUUCUCUCAAAAUUAUUCUCUCUUUUAAGCUUCCAUAACAACAUGGGCAAACAGAUUAUCUUAAAAACAUUUAGUAUGUAAGAAAAAAAAAAAAAAACAUUACAGGGUACAUGAACAAAAAAUCAAUGCAUGUGAUUUGUGACCACAGCAAAAAUGCUUAUUUUCCAACAGCAUAACAACUGUAGUGUUUUUUCCUCUUAUACAACAGGAAUUUGCCAACAAUUCCAAUUUGUAUUCAUUAAAGAUACAAUAGUACUUUUUAUUCAUUUACAGUUUUGUGGAACAUCCACCAAUAUGUUAAUGAGAAUGAGUAAUGAGUCUUUUAUUGGUCGCGUAUACAUUAUAGCACAGUGAAAUUCUUUUCUUUGCAUACCCCAGCAUGUCAGGAAGUUCGGGUCAGAGUGCAGGGUCAGCCAUGAUACAGCGCCCCUGGAGCAGAGAGGGUUAAGGGCCUUGCUCAAGGGCCCAACAGUGGCAGCCGGGCAGUGCUGGAGCUUGAACCCCAGACCUUCCCAUCAGUAACCCAGAGCCUGGCAGUGCUGGAGCUUGAACCCCCUACCUAACUGAUCAGUAACCCAGAGCCUGGCAGUGCUGGAGCUUGAACCCCCGACUUUCCGAUCAGUAACCCAGAGCCUGGCAGUGCUGGAGCUUGAACCCCCGACUUUCCGAUCAGUAACCCAGAGCCUGGCAGUGCUGGAGCUUGAACCCCCGUCCUUCCGAUCAGUAACCCAGAGCCUGACAGUGCUGGAGCUUGAACCCCCGACUUUCCGAUCAGUAACCCAGAGCCUGGCACUGCUGGAGCUUGAACCCCCUACCUAACUGAUCAGUAACCCAGAGCCUGGCACUGCUGGAGCUUGAACCCCCGUCCUUCCGAUCAGUAACCCAGAGCCUGGCAGUGCUGGAGCUUGAACCCCCGUCCUUCUGAUCAGUAACCCAGAGCCUGGCACUGCUGGAGCUUGAAACCGAACUUCUGAUCAGUAACCCAGAGCCUUAACCCUCAAGCCACCACUGCCCCCCAUUAUUAUGCACAGUAUAACAGCUAUAAACAGUCAUUCCCUCACCAGCCUCUCUUUGUCUGUCUCUUGACGUUAAUAAGACAAAAAAAGCAUACUUGAUUGUCAUGUUAUCAAGAAACUGGAUAGUGUAAAGUCCUGAAGACUUCAUCUUGUUGGAAAACAAAGCGCUGACACUGGUAACUGCUUCCAAUAAUAAACAUCUCAAAGAAAAUUCACCAUAUCAAUGAUCACACAAUACAUUACUCCAAGUCACUGUGUAAGUUGUUCUUAGUCUGUUUUCUUAAAAAGCAAUUACUGAUCACGGAGAAGGACACAUUGUUGACAGAAAUAGGUAUUGGGUAACAUCCUAUAACACAUGAAGGAGAAACAAAAUGUCAGCUGCAAAAAUGAGACACAAUUUCCACUUUAAAGCUGAACAUUUGUAGUAAUAGUGAAAGAGUAGACUCAUAAUUGGUGUUGGCAUUUUGCAGGUCAAUCAAGUGGAAUUUUUCCCUGGCCACUCUUAGCACUUUGUGCACUGAGACACACAUGCAUGCGCACACACACACACACACACACACACACACACACACACACACACAAGGACACUCCUUGGAAAUUGUUGGCUUUUUUGACAUAUUCCUCUAUAAACAAUGCUUAUUAAUAAAGGUGAUACACUCUAUAAAACAAUUUAAAUUAACAAUUUAUUAACAAUCUCACAAUUUAAAUUAACAAAAAAAACAGAUCAGUCACAUGGAAAAAGUAAGUAAAUCCCUACAUUACACCUUUAAAUCCAUAAAUUAGAAUAACCGGUCUUAUUUAUACCCCUCUCAUAUCUAGUGUCUGGUGUUCCCUUUGUUAUUGAGGUGUGUGAUGUCAUCAUGCCAAGGUCUACAAGCGUUUUAUAAGGCCUUCAGAAAAAAUUUUGUGGAUGCCAAUAAGUCUUGCAAGGGAUUUAAAAGAUCUCAGAAUUAUUUGAAAUACUAUAAGGAAAAUCAUCUACAAGUGACAGAUUUUAAACGACUGCCAAUUUGUCCAGGACUGGCCGUCCCAGCAAAUUCAGCCCAAGAGCAGACCGUCAGAUGCAAAAUGAAGUCUGCAAGAAUCCCCAAAUUUCAUUAGAGGAUCUGCUUGUCUUGUUGGUAACUGUUGGUGUCAAAGUGCAUGCUUUUACAAUCAGAAAGAGAUUUGUGAAAUCUGACCUGCAUGGGAGGCGUGCAAGGAAAAAGUUUAAAACAGUUUGCCAAUGAGCCUAUAGACAAAGAACAGGCCUUUUGGAAUAAUGUGCUCUGGAUAGAUGCAGAUAGAGGUGUUUAGUCACAGUAACAGCAGACAUGUUUGGCACUGACCAAAGACAGCUUUUCUGGAGAAGCACCUCACAUAAAUUGUGAAGCACGGUGGAGGGAAUGUUAUGGUUUGGGGUUGCUUCACUGCCUCGGGGUCUGUACAGCAGAUUCAUUAAUUCAAUUAUGAAUUCAGCAUAAUAUCAAAGAGUGCUUGAAGAUAAUGAGGCCAUCUGUCUGAAAGUUGAACCAAACCAAAAUUGGACCUUUCAACAGGAUGAUGAUCCUAAGCACACUUGCAAAUCCACCAAAGAAUGGCUCAAAAAGAAGAAAUGGAGGGUUAUCGACUGGCCUAGUCAAAAUUGAAAUGUUGUGGGGGGGAUUUGAAACGGGCAGUACAUGCAAGAAAACCCUCAAACAUCUUGCAACUGAAAGAAUAUUGCAUGGAAGAGUGGUCAAAAAUUCCAGCAAGCCUGGUGGACGAUUAUUCAAAACGCCUACAAGACGUUAUUUCUGCUAAAGGUUCAACACGAGCUUCUGAGGCCAAGAGUGUACUUACUUUUUCCACGGAAGAAUAUCACAUCUAUUGAUAUUUCUGUUGAAUAAAUGACUGAAAAAGCUCAUUUCUCUGUGGUUUUGUUCAAGAAUAUCAACUUUAUUAAUGGGUACUGUUUCAAAGAUGAUCAAAUGUUUGCUUGUAUGCUUGUG
ensembl:lncRNA